UUAAGUCAAAUUUGUAUAGAGUUGGAACGUUUGCCUACGUUUGCCGCUAGGGGCGCUGUUCCAACUCCAUACAAAUUUGAGUUA
rnacentral:pre_miRNA from 1 species